rnacentral:rRNA from 1 species
UACGGGGGGGGCAAGCGUUGUUCGGAAUUACUGGGCGUAAAGGGCUCGUAGGCGGCCAACUAAGUCGGACGUGAAAUCCCUCGGCUUAACCGGGGAACUGCGUCUGAUACUGGAUGGCUUGAAUCCGGGAGAGGGAUGCGGAAUUCCAGGUGUAGCGGUGAAAUGCGUAGAUAUCUGGAGGAACACCGGUGGCGAAGGCGGCAUCCUGGACCGGCAUUGGACGCUGAGGAGCGAAAGCCAGGGGAGCAAACGGG